GCCAGACUCCUACGGGAGGCAGCAGUGGGGAAUAUUGCACAAUGGGGGAAACCCUGAUGCAGCGACGCCGCGUGAGUGAAGAAGUAUUUCGGUACGUAAAGCUCUAUCAGCAGGGAAGAAAAAAAGUCCUUUGGACUUUGGACGGUACCUGACUAAGAAGCCCCGGCUAACUACGUGCCAGCAGCCGCGGUAAUACGUAGGGGGCAAGCGUUAUCCGGAUUUACUGGGUGUAAAGGGAGCGUAGACGGCAGCGCAAGUCUGGAGUGAAAGCCCGGGGCCCAACCCCGGGACUGCUCUGGAAACUGCGGCGCUGGAGUACGGGAGGGGCAGGCGGAAUUCCUGGUGUAGCGGUGAAAUGCGUAGAUAUCAGGAGGAACACCGGCGGCGAAGGCGGCCUGCUGGACCGUGACUGACGUUGAGGCCCGAAGGCGUGGGGAGCAAACAGGAUUAGAUACCCCAGUA
rnacentral:rRNA from 1 species